GAAGGAACAUGUGGAUAGAAGAAUGCAUAAUUUGGAUACUAAUAGGAUUGUGCAACCAUCUUUUGAAUACAGUGGAAACCUGGGCCUGCAAUCCUGGUUUAAAGAAGCAGACAGGAGCUUCCGUUUGUACCUAAUGAACUCUGAAACAUCAUUCCCUCUACAGAUCUGAAGCACCACACAGCCUUAAGAAUAUUACUGCAGCAUUUCAGCUUAUUUCCAAAUAUAAAGGUCCCUUAAUUGGACUUUUAUUCAUGUAUCAAAAUUUCAGAAGACACUUCAUCCAGCUACAUCACUUUUCCCUUCCAAGAUUGCCUUUUCAGAUGCAUGUAAGGAAAUAAGGAAUUGUUUUAAUAAGGAAACUUGAAAAUAAUAGGAAUGCUUCAGGAUUAAUUUAGAACUUGGAGCUCCUGUAAACAAGCUCUGGACUGUUUAUUGGCAGAGGGAAGUAUGGAAAAUGCAAUGAACUGGAAAAUAUUAGGGACUGUUUAUGUUUCCCAUAUUCAAACAGACUUGCCCCAUUUCACAAUUCAGUUAGCUUAUGUACUUUUGAUAUGAGAAGACCUGUGUUCUCCUUGUAAAUAAAUCCAUUCCCUCCUUCAGUUUUGCCAAAGUUGUGUAAAGCAAGAAAAUCUGAUGUGAGAUCCAAGUGCGGGAUUUUCUAACUGCUAGGGGCCUUGUUGCUCUGGUUGAUGCCAGGCAGCAACACUGAAAUGUUGUGGGUGACACACUGGAUAAGGUUUUUUUAGGCCUGCAGGCAAUUGAUUGAUUGAUUGAUUUAAUUUGAUUUGAUGCCACCUACAACUACAACUAACUCCAAACAACUAUAUUUAAUAACACUCUGGAUUAAGUUCAUUUUUAAAUAUUUAUGUUGCACUAGAAAACUAAUAACAUUUAGAAGCUUUUUUGGUUUUUUGUGCAAAUACAACUGUUAUCUCUUAAUAUAACUGGAAAAAAAUGUAUUAUGGUGGCUGUGUUAUUGGGUCCUCAUGAAUACAUAAUUUGAAUUGAAGUAGGAACUCCAUUGAAGGUGAUGGGACAACCCCAGAGAAUACUGACAUGUUUACUGGAGCUUUUGAGUGCUUCAAAAAUGGUCUAAUUCAAAUCAAAGUAUGCAGAGUUGAUGUUUACCCUAACUUUAAAUAAUUCUUGUAACUCAGAGCUUAGCAUUUCAGGUGUGCUUACACUGGGGUAAGAUGGAGUUUUAACAGUAUUUAUAUUCCAAUUUGAAAAAGAAAUAUGGAAGUGUUGAUUUAUAUUUGAAUCAGAAAACCUAAUGACUAGUUUUAAUAUUACAAAAAUACAACAGGAAGAAGUAGCAAUGCCUUACAGAUUAUUAUUAUUAUUUAUUUGAUUUUUAUACCGCCCUUCUCCCGAAGGACUCAGGGCGGUGUACAGGCAACAAUAAAAUACAGACACUACAAUAUACAAUUUAAAAUGCAAGUUAAAAAACUUCUUAUAAUUAGCCUAGAACUUUAAAAAUUUAUAAAAACCAAAACCCCAUUUAAAAUUAGUAAAAAAUUUAAAAUCGAUAAAAUUUAUGUAAUUUAAAAUUGUUAGAUUCACACUUUCAUCAGUCCUAGACAAUAGGCACCCAGAUGCAUUCUAGCAGUAUUUCAGAAACCAUAAGGAUGGCAGCACUACGGUACUUAAAAUGUAUGUUUAAUGCUAGAAAUUCACAAUGUUAUUUAACUUUAAACUUAUACUUGAUGAAUCUUCAUUAUUUUAAGACUUAUUGAGAUUUUAUUUGUGGUUUGUGUCUGUGCAAUAAAUAUAUUCUUCUUUUGUUUGGUAGUUUAUUUAUAAAACAGGCAAAUUCUAGAAUAGUUCUUUGCUACAAUUUUGUUCAAGACUGUCAUCCAUUUACCAAAAGUCUACUAAUUUCCUUGUUUUCUUCUCUGACUUAAUAUGUAUUCA